GAUGAAGAACGUAGCGAAAUGCGAUAAGUAGUGUGAAUUGCAGAAUUCAGUGAAUCAUCGAAUCUUUGAACGCACAUUGCGCCCCUUGGUAUCCCGAGGGGCAUGCCUGUCCGAGCGUCAUUUCACCACUCAAGCCUGGCUUGGUGUUGGGCGACGUCCCCUUUGGGGACGCGCCUCGAAACGCUCGGCGGCGUGGCACCGGCUUUAAGCGUAGCAGAAUCUUUCGCUUUGGAAGUCGGGGCCCCGUCUGCCGGAAGACCUACUCGCAAGGUUGACCUCGGAUCAGGCAGGGAUACCCGCUGAACUUAAGCAUAUCAAUAAGCGGAGGA
rnacentral:misc_RNA from 1 species